CGUAGAAUUUUCCUUACCAUAAACCCAAGAGGAAAUAUAUUCCCAACGAAACCAAGCACAACGAAAACCGUCAACUAACGCUACUUCCAUAGUGGGCAGCGGUGAUGACUGAAGAGCGUAGGUAUUCAUGCGAAACCGCCGCCGAUACUCUCCAAUGGAUCAGCGACAUCAUCAACUUCCUCAAUCCUUACUUUUCGAUCUUCAUCAAUGCUCACGUCGUCCAUUUCUUCAAGGAUCGACUAUGGGAGAAUGUUGAUGCAGAAUGGAUGGAUUGCCUGCGAAGAGAAUCAGUUCAGAAUCUUCUCUUAAUACCUUCUGGAGUAGUGCAGGAUCAAUGGCCAGCUUCUCUGAAGGAUUUCAUCCUAAAAUUGAGGUCUAUGGUAUUUUGUCAAGAACAAGCAGAUAUAAACACGGCUUUACCUGGUCUGCGAAUGACUUCACUUAACAGAGUUCUUGCCCAGGGCAUGAAUGCGAAGAAAAGACAUGAAGUAGAAGCACUUUCUGCUGUUGUAAGUACAGUUGCAGAGAGUGUGAGGGCUCAUGCCAUUCUUGAUGUUGGUGCUGGUCAGGGUUAUCUUGCGCAAGUACUUGCCUUUCAAUAUCAGCAUUCUGUCAUUGCCAUUGAUGCAUGCUCUCACCAUGGGAUGGUCACUGAUGCACGGGCAGAGCGGAUUAAGAAGCACUACAAAUCACAGAUGGUAAAGUCUAGAUCAGGUAUGCAGAAUUUGAAUAUACCAAAGACAAUCACAUGUCGUGUGUUGUCCAUUGAAUCUUUGAAAGCUUUGGUUGAAACAUCUUUGCCUGGAGAUGACCUUGAGCGAUCUAUGUUAAAGGGAGAAAGUCAAGAACAUAAAGGGAAAUUUCAUUGUCCUAGUGACGCAAACAACAGAUCUCCCACUGUUCUUGCUGGGCUUCAUGCAUGCGGUGAUCUUUCAGUGAUUAUGCUGAAGACUUUCUUAGACUGCAGAGAUGUUAAAGCUGUUGUUAGUAUUGGUUGCUGUUACAAUCUACUAUCUGAAGAAAGCAGUAGGGAUGGUGAAUCUCGAUGUGGAUUUCCAAUGAGUCAUGCUGUGAGAUCCACUGGCUUAUCACUUGGAAAAAGUGCACGUGAUCUUGCUUGCCAGAGUGCAGAGAGAUGGAGGAGCCUUGAUAUGCAUGCUGGCAUUCACAACUUUGAGUUACACACUUUUCGCGCUGCGUUCCAAAUGGUUACUAUCUCAAUCCUGAAUAUUAUUAUGAGAAAUCAGAAAUUCUAUUAUUAUGAGAAAUCAGAAAUUGAGAAUGAUCCUAAAUUGGUGAGAGGCCUCCGUAAAUGCAUUGAGAUACUUAGUGAAAGCGAUGAAGUGGAAGACAAGAUUUUAGUACAAUUGUCGCAGUAAAAGGGUGCUACAGGUCUAUUUGGUAUUUGAGCGACAAUUAGACAAAGGUCGACAUUAACUCCAGUUGAGUGGUGGAAGUCUUACGGAGCCGAAACUCUGGAUUUGCAAUUGUUGGCAAUUAAAGUGUUGAGUUUGGGUUGUUGUGCUUCUGGAUGUGAGCGUAACUGAAGCAUUUUUGAGUAUAUUCAUUCCAUGAAGCGAAAUAAGUUGGAGCAUCAAAGGUUGCAAGAUUUGGUUUUCAUCAAGUAUAACCAAGCAUUGAUAGAAAGAUUUGAAAUUCGAGACAAGAUUGAUCUUAUGGAAUUUGGUGAAAUUAAUUAUCACACUCAAUGGUUGGUGGAAGAGAUGGGAGAGAUGAGAGAAGAUGGUGAACCUUUAGAAUAAGACUUGGUUCAUGAAGAUGAUGAUUUAACUUGGGCUCAAGUUGCCGAAGCAAGUGAGGUUAAUGAGUCUGUAAUCUACACUAGGAGGUCAAGUCUACUUGAAGUUGCAAGUACAUCUAGGGCACAACAAGUGGUGGUAGAAGAUGUUGAAGAAGAUGAUGAAGAUGAAGAUGAAGUAUUGGAGGAAUAUUUUGAUAAUAUAUGAAGAAUACAUUUUGAUGAUGAUCUUUUGAAUUUUAAGUUUGAAUUUUCAUAUAAUAAUAGUUCUAAGUUUGAAUUUUAAGAUGUGAUGUUGUGAAUCUUCUACUAUAUGUUUGAAUUUUAAGAUUCUAAGUUUGAAUUUUCAUUAAGUA